rnacentral:rRNA from 1 species
GACGUAGGGCGCGAGCGUUGUCCGGAUUUAUUGGGCGUAAAGAGCUCGUAGGCGGCUCGUUGCGUCGGCUGUGAAAACCCGCAGCUCAACUGUGGGCUUGCAGCUGAUACGGGCGGGCUUGGUUUCGGUAGGGGAGACUGGAAUUCCUGGUGUAGCGGUGAAAUGCGCAGAUAUCAGGAGGAACACCGGUGGCGAAGGCGGGUCUCUGGGCCGAUAUCGACGCUGAGGAGCGAAAGCGUGGGGAGCGAACAGG